rnacentral:tRNA from 1 species
AAUAAUAGGAGCUGUUAGCGUUUUCAUUGUUAAUGAAAAGGAAGGUUUUAAUG